rnacentral:rRNA from 1 species
GACGGUACUUGAUGAAUAAGCCACGGCUAAUUCCGUGCCAGCAGCCGCGGUAAUACGGGAGUGGCAAGCGUUAUCCGGAAUUAUUGGGCGUAAAGCGUCCGCAGGCGGCCUUGUAAGUCUGUCGUCAAAGCGUGGAGCUUAACUCCAUUUAAGCGAUGGAAACUGCAAGGCUAGAGUGUGGUAGGGGCAGAGGGAAUUCCCGGUGUAGCGGUGAAAUGCGUAGAUAUCGGGAAGAACACCAGUGGCGAAGGCGCUCUGCUGGGCCAUAACUGACGCUCAUGGACGAAAGCCAGGGGAGCGAAAGGGAUUAGAUACCCCUGUAGUCCUGGCCGUAAACGAUGAACACUAGGUGUCGGGGGAAUCGACCCCCUCGGUGUCGUAGCCAACGCGUUAAGUGUUCCGCCUGGGGAGUACGCACGCAAGUGUGAAACUCAAAGGAAUUGACGGGGGCCCGCACAAGCGGUGGAGUAUGUGGUUUAAUUCGAUGCAACGCGAAGAACCUUACCAGGGUUUGACAUCCUGCGAAUCCCUUGGAAACGAGGGAGUGCCUUCGGGAGCGCAGAGACAGGUGGUGCAUGGCUGUCGUCAGCUCGUGUCGUGAGAUGUUGGGUUAAGUCCCGCAACGAGCGCAACCCACGUCGUUAGUUGCCAGCAUUUAGUUGGGCACUCUAGCGAGACCGCCGGUGAUAAACCGGAGGAAGGUGUGGAUGACGUCAAGUCAUCAUGCCCCUUACAUCCUGGGCUACACACGUACUACAAUGCUACGGACAAAGGGCAGCAAGCUCGCGAGAGUAAGCAAAUCCCAUAAACCGUGGCUCAGUUCAGAUCGUAGGCUGCAACUCGCCUACGUGAAGGAGGAAUCGCUAGUAAUCGCAGGUCAGCAUACUGCGGUGAAUACGUUCCCGGGCCUUGUACACACCGCCCGUCACACCAUGGAAGUUGGCCAUGCCCGAAGUCGUUACUCCAACCCUUGUGGAGGAGGACGC